rnacentral:rRNA from 1 species
UACGUAGGUGGCAAGCGUUGUCCGGAAUUAUUGGGCGUAAAGCGCGCGCAGGCGGCCUUUUAAGUCUGAUGUGAAAGCCCACGGCUCAACCGUGGAAGGUCAUUGGAAACUGAAAGGCUUGAGUACAGAAGAGGAAAGCGGAAUUCCACGUGUAGCGGUGAAAUGCGUAGAGAUGUGGAGGAACACCAGUGGCGAAGACGGCUUUCUGGUCUGUAACUGACGCUGAGGCGCGAAAGCGUGGGGAGCAAACAGG